UACGUAGGUGGCAAGCGUUGUCCGGAAUUAUUGGGCGUAAAGCGCGCGCAGGCGGCCUCUUAAGUCUGAUGUGAAAGCCCCCGGCUCAACCGGGGAGGGCCAUUGGAAACUGGGAGGCUUGAGUAUAGGAGAGAAGAGUGGAAUUCACGUGUAGCGGUGAAAUGCGUAGAGAUGUGGAGGAACACCAGUGGCGAAGGCGACUCUUUGGC
rnacentral:rRNA from 1 species